CAGGACGAACGCUGGCGGCGUGCUUAACACAUGCAAGUCGAACGCUGAAGCUCAGCUUGCUGGGUGGAUGAGUGGCGAACGGGUGAGUAACACGUGAGUAACCUGCCCCCUUCUUUGGGAUAACGCCCGGAAACGGGUGCUAAUACUGGAUAUUCACUGAUCUUCGCAUGGGGGUUGGUGGAAAGGUUUGUUCUGGUGGGGGAUGGGCUCGCGGCCUAUCAGCUUGUUGGUGGGGUGAUGGCCUACCAAGGCUUUGACGGGUAGCCGGCCUGAGAGGGUGACCGGUCACAUUGGGACUGAGAUACGGCCCAGACUCCUA
rnacentral:rRNA from 1 species